GUGCUCAUUUGGCAGAACAUAUACUUAAAUUGUAACGUUAUAGAGAGGAUUAGCAUGGCCUCUGAGCAAAGAUAACACACAAAUUCCUGAAGCAUUCCAUAUUUUU
ensembl:snRNA U6 U6 spliceosomal RNA